GCCGGAAUAGCUCAGUUGGUAGAGCAGAGGACUGAAAAU
rnacentral:tRNA from 5 species